UUUAGUUCAUUGAAGUUAUCUUUUAUUUUCCUUCACUUUUGACAUUUAUUUUUGGUGCACUGGUUUUGUUUUCCGGAGUGAGCUCAAAGUAGCUAUGAGCAAACAAUAAGGGGUCUCCCAUUUCAUCACGAGACGAAAGUCCUAUAUUUUCCUUUUUCGUUAUUUUUUUGUAAUCGGAGAGUCGUAAGGGAAAAGACAACUUUUCAAUCAGGUCCCACUGGCUUUUGUGCAAUAGUCUCGUCAACUUGUUUGGAACUGGCGUUAUUACUAGCCAGUCUUUGGUAUCUGUUGUAGAAAGCAUUUUUUUAGUUGGAGUAGUUUUGCUAGUUUUUAAAGGUUUAGUGUUCAUUUCCAUCACUCCUUGUACCAAUCCAUGUCGUUUUAAAGUUUUAAAUAAGCGUUCGCUACUGAUAUUUGAUGGCACAUACUGUAAAAGUAAAGAUUUAGGAAAUCUUCCUUUAUUAAUGGCCACUAUUUUCUUUUGCUGAUGCUUAAACUCGGCGACUUCAUUUGCUCUCGCAAGGUACCAAGUACCUAUGUUGGAGAAAGUAUGAGCAGCGUUUAUACUAAAACUCAAAUCUUCUUCUUCUUCUUUUUCGUUAAUAAAGUCCUCAUUCUCUUUGGUUGCACCUUCUUCUGAAAAAAAGCUACUAAUUUCUUUUUCCACCGGCUCUGUAUUGCUUGCUUUUUUCAUGGGAAUUGGCGCUGCAGGAGGAAGGGGUAUUUCUGGUCGAACUUUAGCUAAAACAAUCCAUUCUUUUAAACGUUCCUCGGCAUUGUAAUAGGGAAACGCUUUUAAUUGAAAAUAUCGACUAGGCAAUGCUUCACUUUUAAUAUCUGCUGGGUAUGAAACAGGAAAGUAUGUUCUGACUCGAAACCAAAUCCCCUCACUGGGACGAUACCCACGGGACAUAGCAUCUAAAACAAUUCUCUUAUAUUUAUCCGAUAAGGCCGCUCGAUAAAACUUUGGAACGGCUGUCAUAGUGGAGGAAUGGAAAUGAUUGCACAGCUUGCUUACUGUAACCGAACUUUAAAAUACAGGAUGUUAGAAUUAAUACAGUUGCGAAAAUAACUC